GGCCUGGGGACACCCCACUCAAGCCCAAGAGCCUGUGGAGGCUACAUACUCUCAGGGUCCCCACCAUGGCCUGGAAGGUGCUUCUUCUUGGGCUCCUUGCUUAUGGCUCAGGGGCAGAUUCUCAGACUGUGGUGAUUCAGGAGCCAUCAGUGUCAGUAUCUCCAGGAGGCACAGUCACACUCACCUGUGGCCUCAGCUCUGGGUCAGUCUCUACCAGUAACUACCCUCAAUGGUUCCAGCAGACCCCAGGCAAGGCUCCCCGCUUGCUUAUCUAUAGCACAAGCAACCGCCCCUCUGGGGUCCCUGGUCGCUUCUCUGGAUCCAUCUCUGGGAACAAAGCCGCCCUCACCAUCAAAGAGGCCCAACUUGAGGAUGAAGCCGACUAUCACUGUUUGCUGUAUAUGGGUAGUGGUAUUCACACAGUAAUUUAA